GGACUACCAAGUUUUGAAAUUUACAUAAACUCUUUUGCUUUUCAAAACUAAAGCUAACUUGGGACAUUUUUGUUUAGCCCUUGAGGGGCAAAAUCUUCUUUAGCCAAUCCAAUUAGGCUAAGGUUUUAGAGAUUAAAAAAAAUAUGAUGAUCAACUAAGCUGUUUUGAUAGCUUGAGAUGAUGAUGCGUAUGCAAUGCUUUGUUUCUCUUGAAGGAGCCUUUCCUUACAAGAGAAGAAAUGGAAAUGUGGAGAUUGGUUAAAUUUUACUCCACACCCUAUGUGGAGAAGCCCUUGUUCCAUACGCGGGCUUCCUUCCAUUAAUUGAGAAAGAGAAAGAUGCAAGAGAACCAUGGUUAGGCCAAAGAUCCUUCACGGAGGGAGGCAUUUUUUUAUAGAUCAAUGUUGUAUCGAUCUCUCUUGACAGUCAUACCAUCUCUCUUAAUGAUGAGGAAUUGGUGCACGUAGAGACAUUGUCACGCCUGAAUGCAAGGCAGGUGAUGGAGCUAGGGAAAUCGGGGUACCAUAGUGCUGUGUUGGAUAACCAGGGCCAGCAGCAGCAGCAGCAGCGGAGUAGGGGAAGAGAUGGUGUGGGUAUUGAACACCAUAGCCCUGGCUGGGUGUGUAGCAGCCAUUGCCAUUUCCUUCACCAAAAUUCAUGUAUGGGUAAAAUGCAGCAGCUGCACUUGAUAACACACCACUAGCAGUAGCUGCACUCCCAUAAACUCCAUAUUGACUAUUUCCUCCUCCAUACACACUAUAGUAACCCGUAGUAGGGUAUGUGUAAUCUGGCGAGUAGGGAGAGUACCCAUAAAGAUUGUAAGGUAUUCCUUGUUGGAUAGCAUAAUGAGGAAAAGUUGUUGCUGAAGGAAAAGCUGUUGCUGUUUGAAACCCUCCAUGAAAACCACUCAUCACCCUCAAGUUCCUUCCUCCUCCAUGUUUAGGGGUAGUAGGUUUAGAUCUUUGAACACCCAUAGAAGCAAGAUUACAGUUAGCUCUUCUUCCAUCAAUAACAGGAGCAGCAUCAACACAAGCCCUCAUAGCUGCUUCUGCCUCACGAAAUGUUACAAAUCCAUAGCCUUUAGAUCUUCCAGUAGCUUUAUCAGUUAUAACAACAGCUUCUAAAAUAUCACCAAAUUGUUCAAAAUAUUUCCAUAUCUUUUUUCCUCCUUCUUCCCCUUCUCUCAAAUUCCCUGUGCUUUACUGGCUCUCCGGCUUAACGUGCACGGAUGAGAACUUUAUAGCUAAAUCUGGUGCUCAACGUGCUGCUUCUAGUGAGGGCGUGGCAUUGAUUGUCCCAGAUACAUCUCCAAGAGGCCUAAAUGUGGAAGGAGAGUCAGACAGC
rnacentral:misc_RNA from 1 species